rnacentral:rRNA from 1 species
UACGGAGGGAGCUAGCGUUGUUCGGAAUUACUGGGCGUAAAGCGUACGUAGGCGGCUAUUCAAGUCAGAGGUGAAAGCCCGGGGCUCAACCCCGGAACGGCCUUUGAAACUAGAUAGCUAGAAUCUUGGAGAGGUCAGUGGAAUUCCGAGUGUAGAGGUGAAAUUCGUAGAUAUUCGGAAGAACACCAGUGGCGAAGGCGACUGACUGGACAAGUAUUGACGCUGAGGUACGAAAGCGUGGGGAGCAAACAGGAUUAGAUACCCUGGUAGUCCACGCCGUAAACGAUGAUAACUAGCUGUCCGGACACUUGGUGUUUGGGUGGCGCAGCUAACGCAUUAAGUUAUCCGCCUGGGGAGUACGGUCGCAAGAUUA